rnacentral:rRNA from 1 species
AUUGAACGCUGGCGGCAUGCCUUACACAUGCAAGUCGAACGGUAACAGGUCUUCGGAUGCUGACGGGUGGCGAACGGGUGAGUAAUACAUCGGAACGUGCCUAGUAGUGGGGGAUAACUACUCGAAAGAGUGGCUAAUACCGCAUGAGAUCUACGGAUGAAAGCAGGGGAUCGCAAGACCUUGUGCUACUAGAGCGGCCGAUGGCAGAUUAGGCAGUUGGUGGGAUAAAAGCUUACCAAGCCGACGAUCUGUAGCUGGCCUGAGAGGACGAUCAGCCACACUGGGACUGAGACACGGCCCAGACUCCUACGGGAGGCAGCAGUGGGGAAUUUUGGACAAUGGGCGAAAGCCUGAUCCAGCAAUGCCGCGUGCAGGAUGAGGGCCUUCGGGUUGUAAACUGCUUUUGUACGGAACGAAAAGCCCCGGGUUAAUACCCUGGGGUCAUGACGGUACCGUAAGAAUAAGCACCGGCUAACUACGUGCCAGCCGCCGCGGUAA